AUGGAUCUGUCUUUGGGCGACCCAGCAAUCCCAACCAAGCUGUGGACCCUCGUGAGCCACCGACGCACUCAUCUGCUGGAGCCCAAGUGGGAACAGCUUCCAUGUGUUCGACCUGGGCCAGUUCACCAAAGAGGUGCUGCCCAAGUACAACAAUAUGCAAGCACAACAAUAUGGCCAGCUUCGUGGGCCAGCUCAACAUGUUUGGCUUCCAGAAAGUGGUCCACAUUGAACAAGGUGGCCUGGUCAAACCAGAGAGAGAUGACACUAAGUUCCAGCAUCUGUGCUUCCUGUGGGGCCAGGAGCAGCUGCUAGUGAACAUCAAAAGGAAAGUAACCGGUACAUCCACUCCGAAAAACGAAGACAUAAAGAUCUGCCAGGACAGUGUCACCAAGCUGCUGACUGAUGUCCAGCUGAUGAAGGGGAAGCAAGAAUGUAUGGACUCCAAGGUCCUGGCCAUAAAGCAUGAAAAUGAGGCCCUGUGGCCAGAGGUGGCCAGCCUGCAGCAGAAGCAUACACAGCAGCAGAAAGUUGUCAAUGAGCAGAUUCAGUGCCUGAUCUCACUGGUGCAGUCAAACCUGAUCCUGGGGGUGAAGAGAAAGAAUCGCCUGAUGUUGAGUAACAGCAGCUCAGCACACUCUGUGCCAAGUAUAGCCACCAGUACUCCUCAGAGCAGGUUCAUGGCCCAGGCCCAUACUUGGCUCCAUCCCCAGGCUACUGUAGCUCCAGCCUCUGUAACCCAGAUGUAACCAGCUCUGAAUCCAUAAUCUCGGGCAUCACUGAGUUGGCUCCUGCCAGUCCCUUGGCCUCCCCAAGCAGGAGUUUAGACAAGAGGACCUUGUCCAGCAGCCCCAUGGUGUAUGUCAAGGAGGACCAGCCCACCUAUCACAUAUUUAAUUUGUGUUCCCACAAUGCAUGCAAUAGAAUCAUCAUCCUGAAGUAG